rnacentral:sRNA from 1 species
AAUAAACGUUUAUACCACUCCGCCGUAACCCUAAGCAA